rnacentral:rRNA from 1 species
CCUACGGGAGGCAGCAGUGGGGAAUAUUGGGCAAUGGGCGCAAGCCUGACCCAGCAACGCCGCGUGCAGGAAGACGGCUCUAUGAGUUGUAAACUGCUUUUGUACAAGGGUAAACCUGAAUACGUGUAUUCAGCUGAAAGUACUGUACGAAUAAGGAUCGGCUAACUCCGUGCCAGCAGCCGCGGUAAUACGGAGGAUCCAAGCGUUAUCCGGAUUUAUUUGGUUAAAAGGGUGCGUAGGCGGAUUGAUAAGUUAGAGGUGAAAUGUCCGAGCUUAACUCGGGAACUGCCUCUAAUACUGUUGAUCUAGAGAGUAGAUGCGGUAGGCGGAAUGUAUGGUGUAGCGGUGAAAUGCUUAGAGAUCAUACAGAACACCGAUUGCGAAGGCAGCUUACCAAUCUCUAUCUGACGUUGAGGCACGAAAGCGUGGGGAGCAAACAGGAUUAGAUACCCCAGUAGUC